UACGUAGGGUGCAAGCGUUAAUCGGAAUUACUGGGCGUAAAGCGUGCGCAGGCGGUUUUGUAAGUCUGUCGUGAAAUCCCCGGGCUCAACCUGGGAAUUGCGAUGGAGACUGCAAGGCUAGAAUCUGGCAGAGGGGGGUAGAAUUCCACGUGUAGCAGUGAAAUGCGUAGAGAUGUGGAGGAACACCGAUGGCGAAGGCAGCCCCCUGGGUCAAGAUUGACGCUACAUGG
rnacentral:rRNA from 1 species